AGCCAGUGUGGCCUAGUGGUUAGAGUGUUGGACUAGGACCAAGGAGACCAGGGUUCGAAUCCCCUCUUGGCUA